rnacentral:rRNA from 1 species
UACCGUAUGUGCCCUUCGGGGGAAAGAUUUAUCGGCAAAGGAUGAGCCCGCGUUGGAUUAGCUAGUUGGUGGGGUAAAGGCCCACCAAGGCGACGAUCCAUAGCUGGUCUGAGAGGAUGAUCAGCCACACUGGGACUGAGACACGGCCCAGACUCCUACGGGAGGCAGCAGUGGGGAAUAUUGGACAAUGGGCGCAAGCCUGAUCCAGCCAUGCCGCGUGAGUGAUGAAGGCCCUAGGGUUGUAAAGCUCUUUCACCGGUGAAGAUAAUGACGGUAACCGGAGAAGAAGCCCCGGCUAACUUCGUGCCAGCAGCCGCGGUAAUACGAAGGGGGCUAGCGUUGUUCGGAUUUACUGGGCGUAAAGCGCACGUAGGCGGACUUUUAAGUCAGGGGUGAAAUCCCAGAGCUCAACUCUGGAACUGCCUUUGAUACUGGAAGUCUUGAGUAUGGUAGAGGUGAGUGGAAUUCCGAGUGUAGAGGUGAAAUUCGUAGAUAUUCGGAGGAACACCAGUGGCGAAGGCGGCUCACUGGACCAUUACUGACGCUGAGGUGCGAAAGC